UUGGGUGGCUUAUGCACAACAGGCAUGUAGUUCUCCCAGUUCUAGAGGCUUGAAAUCUAAGAAAAAAGAACCAGUGGGUUUGCUAUCUGGCAAAGACCCACUUCCUGGUUCUGUGUCCUCAUAUGAUAGGAGAAAGAAGGCACUAAUCUCAUUCAUGAGAACUCCAACUCAUGACUUGAUCACCCCCAAAGCCCCAUCUCCUAAUACCAUCACCUUGGUAUUUAGGGUUUCAACAAAGGGGGCUCAAACAUUUAAUCUAUGGCAUGCACCAUAAAAAAUGGCAGAAAUGACCCUAGAUAUGACCUAAUAAAUACAUUUGUUGAUGGUCUGUCACUACCAAUUAAAUCUCUUAGUUGAACCUAGAGUCUCUCAAGUGGAGCUUAUUGAAUGGUAUCUAUCUUAUCCAGAAUAAACUUAUGGCUUCCUUCCUGGGUUUCCUCUUUUGGGGACUAGAAUUCCAUUCAGUUUGGAAAUUCUUGCAUGCAUUAUUUUACUGUGACAUAAUUUAUUCCAUGGAAUCACAGUUCUAACUGAAUCAUUCUUAUGACAAAUUUCUGGUGUCACAUCAACCCAUUCAAAGAACUCAUGAGCAAUUGUGACUUAAACACAGAGAAAUUGGCCUUGCAGGGCUCAGAUUGCUCAUCCUUUCACAGGAUAGACUAGUAACCUCGGUUCAUUGUCUAGAUAAUCUCAGUUGAUAGAUUUUUUUUUCAACCUUCUUGUUGAAUUGGGUCAGUUCAUGGGUAAUUAGAUCUGGGGGGUGGGCUAUCAAUGUUCCAAGACAGUUUUUUAAAAACUGAAUCAACUGGGAAAUGGUUUCAUAUAGAUGUGAUCUUCUUCAGAAAAAAUAGAAUAACAUCUUAGGCAAAGUAGACAAACUUUGUGGCACAAAGCGUUAGGAUACUGGCUUUCUGAAAAAUAUCUGUGUAGCUCGGUCUCCUGUUCCACAGCUAUAUCUCCACACAAUUGUUCUGCUACUUUUUAGUUUUGGUCAGCAUGUUUGAAGGAGGCUUGCUUUGUAAGUCAUAACCCCAUCAUCAUGUAACCUUCAGCCUUGUAGCUUUUUGCAUCUGCAAAGUUAGGAGGCACCCAGGCUGCUCAUUUCAAUACAGAAAAACUAUGUAGAUGGGUUGAUGGGUCAGAAGCCCCACACAGCCACAAUUAGAUAAAACAAUUUGCAUUUCAAUUGCAGGAAAUGGAACAUUGCCAUUCAUCAUAGGGCCAGUUUUAUUUAUUUGGUGUUUUAAGGACUUAUUCAUGAGGGUACACUGGGAAUGCUUUCAACAAUGAAAAAUUAUGGAAGAUAUUUAAUAGCAUUGGGGAAAUGAGCCCUGUUUUAGUGGAGGUUUGCUUAUUUGCCAGUUAUAAGAACAAUUUUGACUAAUUUAGAACUGACUUCAUUUGUAGAAGUCUUCUUUUUUCUAUUUGAAGCAGUAAUACCCAACCUGGCUUCAAAAUGAAGAUUUAUAUUCACAACUUUUAUUGUAUGGCAAAUGUUAUAAAGUUGGUAUUGGCUUAUUCAAAAGACUAUAUAAUUUGAUUCAAUGGCUACUCUCUAGCUGAACAGAUACCUUUCUUAUUUCUUAAUUAGGAUAUUGAAAAUUCUAAACAUCUUUCAUUCAAAGACUAUUUUUCCCCCUCCCUUUUAAGUCAGUGGGAUUUUUACCGACACUCUGCAAGCCUCUGUCUUUGAUGGACAGAUUUGUUUUCAAAACUAUUUCUUACAUGGUGACUUCGUGCAGUCUGAUUAAGAAAUUUAAACAUUGCUUACUGAGUUAACCUUUGGAAGGGAACAUCUCAUUUUAAUGAGACCCUUGGGAGACAUGAAGAUCAUAUUGCCUAACUUCAGAUUUUAUGGUAUGCUUCACGCUAAAAAUAGCACAGAGCACAGGCCACAGUUAUUUUCUAAUGUAACGAGGAGAUCACAGUGUGAUGUCCUUUAAAAAUGACAAAGCUCCAUUAGUUAAAGGAAAAUCUGCCUUUCUCCUUAAAUAGUUCUGUCCUGUGAUUACAUGAACAGUGUCCCCCUGGGACAUUUCUCCCAAUUUCUUGCUUUUGCUGGGGCUACGUUUGAGUCUUUUUUUUUUUUUUCUUCUUACUUUCUCUACUUGCGGUUUAGAAGGCAGAAUCCAGGAAAGAAAGAACGGAGCCCAUCUUCAUCAGCUUGGAGCCAGCAAGCAAGUAUUUGGAGAAAUUAGGCUAAUUAAGUUAAUAGAAGGGGUAAAAGUGCAGGGUCUUUCAUUUGCAUAAAAGCAGAGGUUUGGCAUGCUUUAUGCAUUACUUAUGUUACCAGUCUCAGGAGGACAAUUAUGAUAUGCAUGGAUUAAAUAUUCAGGGGUGAGUAAGGAUAGAGCUCUGGUGAGGACUCGGCAAACAGACUUUAAACCCAUCAGGUUUUUUCAUCUAGCUGUGUGAUGCUCUCCAGAUUCUGGCUUUAGAGAUGCUUUAAUCCACUUGAAGGAGGAAGGAGAAGGACCCAGCUAAAUCCCAAGAUGAAAUCUGAAUGCUAAGAGGCUACCUGAGAUCACAGCAGGAGUCCAUGGCAGGGAUCUGAAGAUUAAAACUACCUGCUUUUCCUUUGAAGACUUACAAGCGGUUAUUAUUGCUAAAUGAAGAGAAAUAUGGUUCUGGCAGAGAGUAAUCAUUAUUUCCCAUAAAACAACUGACUCAGCCAUCUAGUUUGUAUGCUGGGGAGAAAAGGGAUUUAAGAAGAAACAGCUGUGAUGUGUUCUCAAAAGCUUUAUUCACUGGAGAUGUAUCUGUGAUAGAUACAUGAAGAUACUGCAGAAGAAACUCACAGUCUUGAUCUCUCAAAUAUGUUCUGUGAGGUGUUUCCAUUUCACAAAAGAGCAGCAAGAAAUAGAUAUAGAAGUUUC